AGAGAAAUGUUUUCUAGUCUGUGAUCCUGGUUACGUUGCUAAAUCCUAUAGAGGGUUGUAUUGUAAAAACAAUAUUUAUGAAUGGGAUAAAUCUCUGGAAGAGUUUAAGUGUCUUCCAUCUAUUAUUGUUACUGUAGGAGGAUAUGAUGGAGUUAAGAUGAGACAAGUAAAUAUCUUUGGACCGACAGGCCAAGUUAUCAUUGAAGAUGGAGUAGGAACAUUUAGGUUGCCUGUAACUGAAUAUUUUAGUGGAGAAACAUUAACCUGUGGAGGAGGGUUUAACACUAACGUUCAAUGCUUUGCUUACAACUUUACAUCAGGAAAU